AAAUCAAAGCAUAGAGCAAACAUGAAGAAGAGUAAUUUGAUCAUAGCAUCAUUUCUCAUCAUCUUCUUCAUCAUCCUCGCCACGGCCAUUGUGCCAUCCGAGGCGGCUCGAGCCACUAGCAAGACAAAGUUUCAAUUUAGGGACGGGUCGUGUGGGCCUUGCUCGUGUUGCAAGGCCGACACGCCGCCUUGCUGCAUCUGCGCCUGCCCAUAUCUGCCGUGAUGCGACUAUCCCAAAAAAAAUUGUCCUAUUUUUUAUAGUGUGAUUUGUGCAUUAUGUGUUGUGUAUGUCGGCAUAUACAGUUGAUAUGAUCAAAUAAAUAUCAAGAAUCAUAGAAAACUUAUACUUUUA